rnacentral:tRNA from 1 species
CGGGGCGUAGCGCAGUCCGGCCAGCGCACCGCGUUUGGGACGCGGGGGUCCCCGGUUCAAAUCCGGGCGCCCCGACCA